CCUACGGGAGGCAGCAGUGGGGAAUAUUGGACAAUGGGCGCAAGCCUGAUCCAGCCAUACCGCGUGGGUGAAGAAGGCCUUCGGGUUGUAAAGCCCUUUUGUUGGGAAAGCGGUACCCAAAGAAUAAGCACCGGCUAACUUCGUGCCAGCAGCCGCGGUAAUACGAAGGGUGCAAGCGUUACUCGGAAUUACUGGGCGUAAAGCGUGCGUAGGUGGUUGUUUAAGUCUGUCGUGAAAGCCCUGGGCUCAACCUGGGAAUUGCGAUGGAAACUGGGCGACUAGAGUGUGGCAGAGGGUAGUGGAAUUCCUGGUGUAGCAGUGAAAUGCGUAGAGAUCAGGAGGAACAUCCGUGGCGAAGGCGACUGCCUGGGCCAAACUGACACUGAGGCACGAAAGCGUGGGGAGCAAACAGGAUUAGAUACCCUUGUAGUC
rnacentral:rRNA from 1 species